UGCAAGUCGAGCGAACCCUUCGGGGUGAGCGGCGGANGGGUGAGUAACGCGUGGGUAACCUGCCCUAUACACACGGAUAACAUACCGAAAGGUAUGCUAAUACGGGAUAAUGUGUUUUGAUCGCAUGGUCGAAAUAUCAAAGCUCCGGCGGUAUAGGAUGGACCCGCGUCUGAUUAGCUAGUUGGUAAGGUAAUGGCUUACCAAGGCGACGAUCAGUAGCCGACCUGAGAGGGUGACCGGCCACAUUGGAACUGAGACACGGUCCAAACUCCUACGGGAGGCAGCAGUGGGGAAUAUUGCACAAUGGGCGAAAGCCUGAUGCAGCAACGCCGCGUGAGCGAUGAAGGCCUUCGGGUCGUAAAGCUCUGUCCUCAAGGAAGAUAAUGACGGUACUUGAGGAGGAAGCCCCGGCUAACUACGUGCCAGCAGCCGCGGUAAUACGUANGGGGCUAGCGUUAUCCGGAUUUACUGGGCGUAAAGGGUGCGUAGGUGGUUUUUCAAGUCAGGAGUGAAAGGCUACGGCUCAACCGUANUAAGCUCUUGAAACUGUUAAACUUGAGUGCAGGAGAGGAGAGUGGAAUUCCUAGUGUAGCGGUGAAAUGCGUAGAUAUUANGAGGAACACCAGUUGCGAANGCGGCUCUCUGGACUGUAACUGACACUGANGCACGAAAGCGUGGGGAGCAAACAGNANUAGAUACCCUGGUAGUCCACGCCGUAAACGAUGANUACUAGCUGUCGGGGGUUACCCCCCUCGGNGGCGCAGCUAACGCAUUAANUACUNCGCCNGGGNAGUNCGCUCGCNAGANUGAAACUCAAANGANNUGACGGGGNNCCGCACGANUAGCGGANCAUGU
rnacentral:rRNA from 1 species